rnacentral:rRNA from 1 species
GAUUGAACGCUGGCGGCAUGCUUUACACAUGCAAGUCGAGCGGCAGCGCGGGGGCAACCCUGGCGGCGAGCGGCGAACGGGUGAGUAAUGCAUCGGAACGUAUCCUCGAGUGGGGGAUAACCCAGCGAAAGUUGGGCUAAUACCGCAUGAGCUCUGAGGAGGAAAGCGGGGGACCUGCGAGGGCCUCGCGCUGGAGGAGCGGCCGAUGUCCGAUUAGCUAGUUGGUGGGGUAAAGGCUUACCAAGGCGACGAUCGGUAGCUGGUCUGAGAGGAUGAUCAGCCACACUGGGACUGAGACACGGCCCAGACUCCUACGGGAGGCAGCAGUGGGGAAUUUUGGACAAAGGGGGCAACCCUGAUCCAGCCAUGCCGCGUGAGUGAAGAAGGCCUUCGGGUUGUAAAGCUCUUUCGGACGGAACGAAAUGGGCGGGACUAAUACUCCUGUCUGAUGACGGUACCGUAAGAAGAAGCACCGGCUAACUACGUG